rnacentral:tRNA from 1 species
GAUUUUAUAUUCAAUUAUGAUAUUAAAUUGCAAAUUUAAAGGUAUAAUUAAAUUUAUUAAGAUUU